rnacentral:rRNA from 1 species
UACGUAGGGGGCAAGCGUUGUCCGGAAUCAUUGGGCGUAAAGAGCGUGUAGGCGGCCCGGUAAGUCCGCUGUGAAAGUCGAGGGCUCAACCCUCGAAUGCCGGCGGAUACUGUCGGGCUAGAGUCCGGAAGAGGCGAGUGGAAUUCCUGGUGUAGCGGUGAAAUGCGCAGAUAUCGGGAGGAACACCAGUAGCGAAGGCGGCUCGCUGGGCCACACCUGACGCUGAGACGCGAAAGCUAGGGGAGCGAACAGG